UCUUAUGGAUGAGCAAAGAAAGUGGUUUCUUGAGAUGGAAUCUUCUUCUCGUAAAGAUUCUGUGAA
rnacentral:pre_miRNA from 1 species